AUACAGCGAAACUGCGAAUGGCUCAUUAUAUAAGUUAUCGUUUAUUUGAUAGUACCUUACUACUUGGAUAACCGUGGUAAUUCUAGAGCUAAUACAUGCUGAAAAUCCCGACUUCGGAAGGGAUGUAUUUAUUAGAUUCAAAACCAAUGCCCUCUGGGCUCACUGGUGAUUCAUGAUAACUCUUCGAAUCGCAUGGCCUUGCGCCGGCGAUGGUUCAUUCAAAUUUCUUCCCUAUCAACUUUCGAUGUUUGGGUAGUGGCCAAACAUGGUUGCAACGGGUAACGGAGGGUUAGGGCUCGACCCCGGAGAAGGAGCCUGAGAAACGGCUACUACAUCCAAGGAAGGCAGCAGGCGCGCAAAUUACCCAAUCCCGACACGGGGAGGUAGUGACAAUAAAUACUGAUACAGGGCUCUUUUGGGUCUUGUAAUUGGAAUGAGUACAAUUUAAAUCCCUUAACGAGGAACAAUUGGAGGGCAAGUCUGGUGCCAGCAGCCGCGGUAAUUCCAGCUCCAAUAGCGUAUAUUAAAGUUGUUGUGGUUAAAAAGCUCGUAGUUGAACCUUGGGCCUGGCUGGCCGGUCCGCCUCACCGCGUGUACUGGUCCGGCCGGGCCUUUCCCUCUGUGGAACCCCAUGCCCUUCACUGGGUGUGGCGGGGAAACAGGACUUUUACUUUGAAAAAAUUAGAGUGCUCCAGGCAGGCCUAUGCUCGAAUACAUUAGCAUGGAAUAAUGAAAUAGGACGCGCGGUUCUAUUUUGUUGGUUUCUAGGACCGCCGUAAUGAUUAAUAGGGACAGUCGGGGGCAUCAGUAUUCAAUUGUCAGAGGUGAAAUUCUUGGAUUUAUUGAAGACUAACUACUGCGAAAGCAUUUGCCAAGGAUGUUUUCAUUAAUCAGGAACGAAAGUUAGGGGAUCGAAGACGAUCAGAUACCGUCGUAGUCUUAACCAUAAACUAUGCCGACUAGGGAUCGGACGAUGUUAUUUUUUGACUCGUUCGGCACCUUACGAGAAAUCAAAGU
rnacentral:rRNA from 1 species